rnacentral:lncRNA from 1 species
UCUCUGCUCUGAGAUAUCAAUGACUAACCAAGCUGUUCCGUAUUUUUCCCUUGUUUAACCUCACACCCGAAUGAUGAAUUUGUGACCUAUCUGUUCCCACAGCACGUUAACGACUUCACAGCCAGCAGUCGUCACUGGCUGUCUAAGCGAGUCAAUGAAGAGGCUGCUUCCAACACAAACCACUCUAACGGGAACAGAGACACUACAAAGCACUGAGAAGCAGAAGAGCUGGCCAGGAGGAACUUGCCACGACUCGGGACAGAAAGGCACUUUCACUUGCAGGCAUCUCGGUUUCUCCAGCCGAGCCGAGGAACAAACGCAGCAACACGGCAGUGAAAAUUUGCACGCCACUGGUUUUCAGGAGGAGCACUGCCCCUCCCAGUGAUUCCUGGAUUAAACCCAGCAUUCAAACUACAAAAAUAUAGGCUUAUGAGUUGACUCAUUAGUCAGAGAAAUGCGAUGUCUUCCAACGUUAAGGAAUGUGACAAUAACAGCAAAUCUCACCCUGCUUGAUAAACGGCAGGCAUUUCUCCAUAUAAGGUGAAAAAUGUGCUAGAGCUGCUCAUGCAGCACUGUUAAUUCUUUGCCUGUUCUUAAUAUGCAAGAAUAUAAAUGAACUUAUAAAUCAAUUUUGGAAGCAAACCUAGGAAGUCCGUUUUGCUUGCUGAUAGCUAUAAACCAUCUAAACCACGCUCAGUGCACGAGGAAUGUUGAGCUUAACCAUUUAAUCCCUUUUAAGCACAGAGUGCAUUUGAGCUUGGUAUGGUAUCUUGCUAGCGCUGAACUGAAUGUAAAUCUCAGACGUCCUGGCCCCUUCCAACCCCUGAAUUCCCCUUAUAGUUCACCAUUCCCUGGUAUUCCCGUGCAUUACUGCCCCUGACUGACAGCUCUGUGGCCUUCAGCGCAUCCAGGACGUGAGGACAUCAGGGGAAAGCCGGCAGCCCAACAAAACCAUCGGUCUUUCACUCUGUGCGUCCUCCAGGCUGAGCACCAGGGCUGCAGGGUAUCAGCACAGGGCCACUGCUGCUACUUUAUCUUAGCUCUUAUCGUCUAAUAAUCUCUGUAGCAGCAACAAAAAUAAGGAGCACUUAUGAAGUUGUUUGUGCAUUACAAAAAGAUUGCAGACAUCACUCACUGUUGGAGAGAGACUGACGGAAAGACUUCUGUUGAUUUUAAUGGGCUCUACACCAGGUUGUAAAGGCAAAGAAAAACUACUUUAUAUGACCCCUUUUGCACAAAGCAAGAUAAGGCACCUGCAAAAACUCUCUUAGACCUGGCAAUGAAAUCCACUUUGUUUUUAAAUUAGAUCUAAGCCCUGGUCUUCCCCAUUUCUUUGUUUUCAC